UGGGGAAUAUUGCACAAUGGGCGCAAGCCUGAUGCAGCCAUGCCGCGUGUGUGAAGAAGGCCUUCGGGUUGUAAAGCACUUUCAGCGAGGAGGAAGGUGGUGAGCUUAAUACGCUCAUCAAUUGACGUUACUCGCAGAAGAAGCACCGGCUAACUCCGUGCCAGCAGCCGCGGUAAUACGGAGGGUGCAAGCGUUAAUCGGAAUUACUGGGCGUAAAGCGCACGCAGGCGGUUUGUUAAGUCAGAUGUGAAAUCCCCGGGCUCAACCUGGGAACUGCAUUUGAAACUGGCAAGCUAGAGUCUCGUAGAGGGGGGCUAGAAUUCCAGGUGUAGCGGUGAAAUGCGUAGAGAUCUGGAGGAAUACCGGUGGCGAAGGCGGCCCCCCUGGACGAAGACUGACGCUCAGGUGCGAAAGCGUGGGGCAGCAAACAGGAUUAGAUACCCUGGUAGUCCACGCUGUAAACGAUGUCGAUUUUGGAGGUUGUGCCCCUUGAGGCGUGGCUUCCGGAGCUAACGCGUUAAA
rnacentral:rRNA from 1 species